rnacentral:snoRNA from 1 species
CCUACAAUAUCACAUCGUAAACUCAGCAUGGUAUAACAGCUUCCUUUUAAAAAACUUAAAAAUUACAGUGAAUUGAGACAGAGGUUAUGCUUCCAUCACAGCAAGGUUACUGCUGUGGAGACAAUGACACCGGUAAUAUGU